rnacentral:rRNA from 1 species
AGUGAACGCUGGCGGUAGGCCUAACACAUGCAAGUCGAACGGCAGCACAGUAAGAGCUUGCUCUUACGGGUGGCGAGUGGCGGACGGGUGAGGAAUACAUCGGAAUCUACUUUUUCGUGGGGGAUAACGUAGGGAAACUUACGCUAAUACCGCAUACGACCUACGGGUGAAAGCAGGGGAUCUUCGUACCUUGCGCGAUUGAAUGCGCCGAUGUCGGAUUAGCUAGUUGGCGGGGUAAAGGCCCACCCAGGCGACGAUCCGUAGCUGGUCUGAGAGGAUGAUCAGCGACACUGGAACUUGGCCACGGACCAGACUCCUACGGGAGGCAGCAGUGGGGAAUAUUGGACAAUGGGCGCAAGCCUGAUCCAGCCAUACCGCGUGGGUGAAGAAGGCCUUCGGGUUGUAAAGCCCUUUUGUUGGGAAAGAAAAGCAGCAGGUUAAUACCCCGCUGUUCUGACGGUACCCAAAGAAUAAGCACCGGCUAACUUCGUG